rnacentral:rRNA from 1 species
CAGUCGCCGCGGGAACACGAAGGGUGCAAGCGUUAAUCGGAAUUACUGGGCGUAAAGCGUGCGUAGGCGGUUUGUUAAGUCUGUUGUGAAAUCCCCGGGCUCAACCUGGGAAUGGCAAUGGAUACUGGCAAGCUAGAGUGUGUCAGAGGAUGGUGGAAUUCCCGGUGUAGCGGUGAAAUGCGUAGAGAUCGGGAGGAACAUCAGUGGCGAAGGCGGCCAUCUGGGACAACACUGACGCUGAGGCACGAAAGCGUGGGGAGCAAACAGGAUUAGAUACCCCUGUAGUCCCUGUCUCUUAUAC